ACUUAUAAUUAUGACUUAAAACCUUUUCUGAAAACAGUUGUUUUCAUGAUCAUAACUCUAACAAAAUCUUUUCAUUGAUUCAGGUUUUAAUUUUUGUAUUGAGUUGGAGGCGGAUAGGUGGCUUUGGAAGUUUUAUCUAACGGCUUUGGAAAAUGCUGCGGUUUUUACAGGAGAAUGUUUCUAAAGGCAUAUGUGUUUGUUUUGAAAAUCCAAAUUUUAAACAUUGUUUUGUGUUCAUAUUUUUCAUUUAUAUGGUUUUUCAUGAUGAAUUUAACAAAAAAUAAGACUGGUUUUAAUGAAAGUCUGCAUUAGUGA